AGUGAACGCUGGCGGUAGGCCUAACACAUGCAAGUCGAACGGCAGCACAGUAAGAGCUUGCUCUUACGGGUGGCGAGUGGCGGACGGGUGAGGAAUACAUCGGAAUCUACUUUUUCGUGGGGGAUAACGUAGGGAAACUUACGCUAAUACCGCAUACGACCUACGGGUGAAAGCAGGGGAUCUUCGGACCUUGCGCGAUUGAAUGAGCCGAUGUCGGAUUAGCUAGUUGGCGGGGUAAAGGCCCACCAAGGCGACGAUACGUAGCUGGUCUGAGAGGAUGAUCAGCCACACUGGAACUGGGACACGGUCCAGACUCCUACGGGAGGCAGCAGUGGGGAAUAUUGGACAAUGGGCGCAAGCCUGAUCCAGCCAUACCGCGUGGGUGAAGAAGGCCUUCGGGUUGUAAAGCCCUUUUGUUGGGAAAGAAAAGCAGCAGGUUAAUACCCCGCUGUUCUGACGGUACCCAAAGAAUAAGCACCGGCUAACUUCGUG
rnacentral:rRNA from 1 species